rnacentral:rRNA from 1 species
ACGGGAGGCAGCAGUGGGGAAUAUUGCACAAUGGGGGAAACCCUGAUGCAGCGACGCCGCGUGAGUGAAGAAGUUAUUCGUAAUGUAAAGCUCUAUCAGCAGGGAAGAAAAUGACGGUACCUGACUAAGAAGCCCCGGCUAACUACGUGCCAGCAGCCGCGGUAAUACGUAGGGGGCAAGCGUUAUCCGGAUUUACUGGGUGUAAAGGGAGCGUAGACGGUAUGGCAAGUCUGAUGUGAAAACCCAAGGCUCAACCAUGGGACUGCAUUGGAAACUGUCAAACUAGAGUGCAGGAGGGGUAAGCGGAAUUCCUAGUGUAGCGGUGAAAUGCGUAGAUAUUAGGAGGAACACCGGUGGCGAAGGCGGCUUACUGGACUGUAACUGACGUUGAGGCUCGAAAGCGUGGGGAGCAAACAGGAUUAGAUACCCUGGUA